rnacentral:rRNA from 1 species
AUGGACAUGGCUAGGCUGAUGAAUGGGUGCUUCAUGGGUGCAAGCAUCUUCAGUGAACUACUAAAAGCAAAUAUUAACCAUCCUUUCUGGAGCAUGGCCUUUGUGGCCCUGAGGAAUUCGAAGAAGACAAACAACUCAGUGUAUGGGAAGCAUUUCACUUAUCCUUGGCCAAUGCUGGAGACAGGAUAUUUCAAGAGAGUGAAGAAAUCUUCUGAAUGUGUUGUGAUGUUUGCGGGCCACCAGACAUGUUCUGUUGAAACUGGACCAGAAGCUCUCAAGAUGAUUAGCAUGGAAGAUCUUCUCAUUGGAAGUGGUAGGCCUAGAGGGAAAUUCAGCAUCCAUCUAUGGACAUCUCGUCUGCCUCCUCACUACAACUACUCUGUUCGCUAUAUGUCACGAGCAAAUGAAAACCAUGGUGCCCCCUACUCUAGACAUGCAUACAAGAUGCAUGCUUGGUGGUUGGCGUUGGCAAUUUGUGUGAGGGAAAUAAUCAAGAAGCCCGAAGGAAUUUUUAUGGAGUAUGCCUCCAAGGGUCUUUUCUCGACCAAGUCGGACAUCUACAAUUUCGGCGUCCUACUUCUCGAGAUUAUAAGCGGGAAGAAGAAUGCAAGCUUAUUGAAUUUCACAGGACAUGUAUACAAGCUGUGGCAAGAAGCGAACGGGCAUGAGUUGGUCGACAUGGUCAGCGCCAACGGCCAACCCAGCAUUUCCGAUAUGGUCUUCAUGCCCGGCAGCGAGUGGAUCGGACUGCCAGAGCCCAAGCAGCCGGCCUACUUAAUUGUCAGGAUGUCGAACAUCCAAGAGUCAGUCAGACCGGUUGCCCGGUCGUCCUACAUCAGCAUCGUCGUCUUAACUUCCCAUGUUGCAAGCUGCACACAGGCAAGAAUAGGACAUGCCAUUUGCAUAUUUGGAAAGAGCACCUUGAUUGAGCAUGCUUGUGACGAUGAAAGGGUGCGCAACCACUUCUCUCAGGUUUUGUGUUUCAGUGGAGAUGAUCUUAAAGAUGCAAGUAUAGAGACCCUAAGAUGUGGAGGUAGAAUAAGGCAUCAAAACCGUGGUGUGGGCGGUGGAAGGACACUGAUCAUCGUUGAGCUGCUUCCGGAUAUCGACGAGCAUGUAUGGAAGAAGUUGUAUUCAGCAGCGAGAAGCCGCACCAUGAGCGGAAGUAAAAUCAUAAUCGCGAGCCGAUCCGACAAGAUCUCAAGCUUUGGAACCACGCAACCCCUCAGAUUACAGUUCAGUACCCUAGAGGCAUACUGGUACUUUUUUUUUUGA